UGAAGUGACACAAACCUCCAUUUUAAUGUC
rnacentral:piRNA from 1 species